rnacentral:lncRNA from 1 species
GUGUAUUUUACUCUGGUUAAAAUCUAUUACAUUAUAGGGUUUGUACCUAUAUCCCCCUUUUUUUUCAUUGCAACGUACCACAAACUUCAAAAGUAUUCCAUAUAAAAAAAAAGAUGUGAUAUGAUUGCAAAUGAGACAUACAUUAACUUACAAUUAUAGGUCCCGUACGGGCUUCAACAAUGAGUAAAAUUCAUACUGCAUAGUCUUCAAUUCCCGAAAUAAAUAAUGUAAAACAAACGAAAAAUCUAACGGCCCGAUUAAUGUACAAAAUAAAUAAGAAACAAACAAAUAUAGUAUAUAGAAACAAACGACAAACACUGCAUUACCGUCUCGUGACUUGAAACUGACACAUACAGAAUGUGGCGGGGUUUAACUUUUCUAAGGGUGCGCCAACACUCCCCUAACCUGGGUGUACCAGUGCAACAAGCUUUUUACCAAAUCAACCAUUAUCUUCAUCAUCUUCAUUUUCAUCAACCGUCACAAGACAUGACAAGACACAUGAAAGGUUCUGCUCAAAGCAAACACGUUAUUUUGAGGUUUUUUUACAAGUAUAGACAAGGUAUUGUAGGAAGUCCGAAGACAUUUGUUCCUAAAAAAAUACCAGCUUCAAACCAUCCCUAUCAAUUCAUCCAAGAUUUAACAGAGAUCUAAAAGGGGGUUUAGGAAGGUGUGAUGACAUCCAUAUGCGUGUCUGCAAAGAUGCUGAGGAAACAAAUAUACGAGAUGUACACACUAUCUUGAAUUCGCUCAUUUUCAUGGUUGGCAACACAUUAGAUAGCGUCGCACUUUACUUUAAGAAGCAUAAAAUCCAUUGGCAUUCAAUGUUUCAACAAGGUGUUUUGAACCAAACUCAUGGUACAUUUGUAAAACCAAUCCUAAAUGAAAAAGAGUAAAACAAAAUUGGCCACACAAACGAUUGACUUAACAAUUGCUUAGCAUUUACGCAAUUUCUCUGGUGCCAUUUCCUGAGAAUAGUCUUGGCUGUAUGCAGUUUCAUCAAGUAACUAUGAAAUGAAUUGUAAUAAAUACGAAGGCAUUGACUGAAUUGAAGAAGGAAGAGACAAUUCAUCCGAAGUUGGGUAUUCUUCUUUAGAGUUUCGAUGUGUUUUUCUAAGUAUACUUGCAGCGGAAUGAAAUAUCUGUCCGUUAUUUGUGUCUAUUACCGUUGACAUUGAGAUUUUGAGGUCAGUUUUCAAUUGCCUAGCAGCUGAUAUGGCAUCUCAAAUAGUUAUUUUGCUACUAUAUAUUAUGUUAUAUUUGCCUUGAACUUGUUGAAGUUGUUUGACAACUGAUUUUCUAUAGAAAUCAAUAAGUUUAGACCGC